rnacentral:rRNA from 1 species
UACAGAGGUCCCAAGCGUUGUUCGGAUUCACUGGGCGUAAAGGGUUCGUAGGCGGUCGGGUAAGUCUGACGUGAAAUCUCCGAGCCCAACUCGGAAACUGCGUCGGAUACUAUUCGGCUAGAGGAAUGGAGGGGAGACUGGAAUUCUCGGUGUAGCAGUGAAAUGCGUAGAUAUCGAGAGGAACACCAGUGGCGAAGGCGAGUCUCUGGACAUUUCCUGACGCUGAGGCACGAAAGCCAGGGGAGCAAACGGG